AAGAAAGCUUGUUUAAGUGACCUCUAGGAUUUUGAAAGAGAGCUCUUGAUCAUGAGAGGUUUUAAUCUCAAUUGAUCAUAUGUUUCCGCAAUUGAAGGUAAAACCGACGCGGAGGAUCAUUCGGAUUGAGAUUCCGUUGAGCCGGUGGUGGUCAAAGUGAAGAAAAUUCUAUUUUUGCUUCAUUUGUCGCAGUUGGAAGAAAACGACGGCCAUAAAUCGCGCUACUAGGCUACUCGCUUCGUGUUGACAUCACGAGAGCCUAGUUCGAGCGCGUGUGUCGAGGAUCGCGGCAAGGGCGUCGCGCAGUAGAUAGCAUGGACCACCGGCAUUAGCUCACUACCCUCGAGUAGAAUAAAAAGAAAAGAAUGAUAUGUAAAACCCUUUUGUGAAGAAAUGUAAUGUAUUUGAGAGAUGGUAUUUUGGUUGUAUGUAUGAAAAGUAAAGUGAAAUAUGUAAUGGUUCAUGUGUGUGAACAAGUAAUGUAAUAGAUAAUUUACAAUUCUCUUGUAUCUGUGAU